GCAAGUCGAACGAGAAUCUAAUGACGGAGUUUUCGGACAACUGAUUUAGAGGACAGUGGCGGACUGGUGAGUAACGCGUGAGGAACCUGCCUUUCAGAGGGGGACAACAGUUGGAAACGACUGCUAAUACCGCAUGAUGUGUAACUGGGACAUCCCGGAUACACCAAAGAUUUAUCGCUGAAAGAUGGCCUCGCGUCUGAUUAGCUAGUUGGUGAGGUAACGGCCCACCAAGGCGACGAUCAGUAGCCGGACUGAGAGGUUGACCGGCCACAUUGGGACUGAGAUACGGCCCAGACUCCUACGGGAGGCAGCAGUGGGGAAUAUUGGGCAAUGGGCGCAAGCCUGACCCAGCAACACCGCGUGAAGGAAGAAGGCUUUCGGGUUGUAAACUUCUUUUAAGUGGGAAGAGCAGAAGACGGUACCACUUGAAUAAGCCACGGCUAACUACGUGCCAGCAGCCGCGGUAAUACGUAGGUGGCAAGCGUUGUCCGGAUUUACUGGGUGUAAAGGGCGUGCAGCCGGGCAUGCAAGUCAGAUGUGAAAUCUCAGGGCUUAACCCUGAAACUGCAUUUGAAACUGUAUGUCUUGAGUGCCGGAGAGGUAAUCGGAAUUCCUUGUGUAGCGGUGAAAUGCGUAGAUAUAAGGAAGAACACCAGUGGCGAAGGCGGAUUACUGGACGGUAACUGACGGUGAGGCGCGAAAGCGUGGGGAGCAAAC
rnacentral:rRNA from 1 species